UACGUAGGGUGCGAGCGUUGUCCGGAAUUAUUGGGCGUAAAGAGCUCGUAGGUGGUUCGGUAAGUCAGGUGUGAAACCUCCAGGCUCAACCUGGAGACGCCACUUGAUACUGCUGUGACUGGAGUCCGGUAGGGGAGCGUGGAAUUCCUGGUGUAGCGGUGAAAUGCGCAGAUAUCGGGAGGAACACCAGUGGCGAAGGCGGCGAUCUGGGUCGAUACUGACGCUGAGGUGCGAAAGCGUGGGGAGCAAACAGG
rnacentral:rRNA from 1 species